UCAAAGGUAGUUUAAAGUAAAAAUAUUAAUUUUGGGGAUUAAAGAUAAAAGAAUUUUCCUUUGAA
rnacentral:tRNA from 1 species